AGUGGUUUAGACAGAAGUGGACUGGACAGUGCAAUCGAUUCGGUGAAUCUGGUCGGUCUAGUGGAAAUCUCAGCCCAUGUCACCAAAUGGCAGCGCGGUUAACUUGGCUGAUUGAAUGUCAUUCGUAGGUGCAGUCACGUAGCAUCCUACCUAUAGACUUUGGGCCCAAACAAAUGGAGGAAUUAUGGUGACAACGACCCGACGACUUCAUUAGACGCGGCCAUCCAUCAGCCGGUGGAAAGGGUUAUUUGACUGCUGGAAAGGAUUUCCUACAAUUUCCACCACUCGGAUAAAUCAUGCGCCCAAUCCCUCGAAGUUCACUCGUGUUAUACUAACACCAUUUUUGAAAAGGACUAUUUUUUAUCCUUUGUGGUACGUGUAUGCCAUCAUCGGACUACAACUUCUAAUGCCAUUUUCUUUGUGUAGACUGUCGAAUAAAUCAGAAAGUUUGAGCAGUGCCGCUCGUAAAACGGA